GACGGAGGGUGCAACCGUUGUUCGGAAUCACUGGGCGUAAAGGGCGCGUAGGCGGACUUGUAAGUCGGGCGUGAAAACUCGGGGCUCAACCCCGAGCCUGCUUCCGAAACUGCGAGUCUUGAGGACCGGAGAGGAAAGUGGAAUUCCUAGUGUAGCGGUGGAAUGCGUAGAUAUUAGGAAGAACACCAGUGGCGAAGGCGACUUUCUGGACGGUUCCUGACGCUGAGGCGCGAAAGCUAGGGGAGCAAACAGG
rnacentral:rRNA from 1 species